CCUACGGGUUGCACCAGUGGGGAAUAUUGCACAAUGGGCGCAAGCCUGAAGCAGCCAUGCCGCGUGUAUGAAGAAGGCCUUCGGGUUGUAAAGUACUUUCAGCGGGGAGGAAGGUGUUGAGGUUAGUAACCUCAGCAAUUGACGUUACCCGCAGAAGAAGCACCGGCUAACUCCGUGCCAGCAGCCGCGGUAAUACGGAGGGUGCAAGCGUUAAUCGGAAUUACUGGGCGUAAAGCGCACGCAGGCGGUCUGUCAAGUCGGAUGUGAAAUCCCCGGGCUCAACCUGGGAACUGCAUCUGAUACUGGCAAGCUUGAGUCUCGUAGAGGGGGGUAGAAUUCCAGGUGUAGCGGUGAAAUGCGUAGAGAUCUGGAGGAAUACCGGUGGCGAAGGCGGCCCCCUGGACGAAGACUGACGCUCAGGUGCGAAAGCGUGGGGAGCAAACAGGAUUAGAUACCCCGGUAGUC
rnacentral:rRNA from 1 species